rnacentral:rRNA from 1 species
GUACCUACGGGAGGCAGCAGUGAGGAAUAUCGGUCAAUGGGCGGGAGCCUGAACCAGCCAAGUCGCGUGAGGGAUGACGGCUCUAUGGGUUGUAAACCUCUUUUGCCGGGGAGCAAAGUGCCGCACGUGUGCGGUUUGGAGAGUACCCGGAGAAAAAGCAUCGGCUAACUCCGUGCCAGCAGCCGCGGUAAUACGGAGGAUGCGAGCGUUAUCCGGAUUUAUUGGGUUUAAAGGUGGCGUAGGCGGACGCUUAAGUCAGCGGUAACAUUGCGGGGCUCAAC